rnacentral:lncRNA from 1 species
UUCUCUUCUUCGCCAGUUUUUGGCUCCUCGGCCUUGACAACUUGUUCUUCUGCUGCUGCUUCUUUUUCUUUUGGGGGCGCUUCAGGUGCUUUCUCCUCUUCUUUGGCUGCUGGUGGUGGUGGUGGUGGUGGUGGCGGGGCGGUGAACUCGUGCUUGUUAAGCGCGUCUUGAAUAAGCUGCUUCAGUUCAUCAAGAGCUUUCUUCUGAGGGUCGGGUAACUCACCAACAACGUUGCUCUCUUCUUUGAAAGAAGCCGAUUGAGCAAUCUUUUCUCCCUCGACGGGCUUCGGUUUCUCAGCCUCAACCACUUCUUCAACACCAGCAGCAGCAGCAGAUUCCUCAGUGCGCUUCUCCGGUGCUUCAGGCUCAGGUACGGGAGCAGGUGCCUGUUCUUUCUCCUUCUCAGCGACCGGUUUCUCCACCGCAACUUCCUCGGCUGCAGCUGGCUUUUGCGUGUCCUCGGCCAUGGAUGAUGAUGAAGCAGACUUGCUGAUGAUGAUUGGGC